AAUGCCAUUUUAGACAUCAAUAUACAAUAUCGUCAUGAGAUUCUAAUAAAAGAAUAUGAAAUGUCCAAUUUGCACCAGCUAAUUAGAUCUUUUCACCAUUUGGACCAAACCCUUCACGGACUAUUCCCUUUCGAAAGGUUUCAGAUAUCUGGCGACAUGUUAUCUGCUAACGUGGACGGUCAAUAUUAGGGGAACCAACCCUACUCUGUCCUCGCCAACUCUUUAAAUAAAGUUCGAAACAGUCGCUACAUCCUCAAAUCUGCGGCGAUCUCUCUCUCUCUCUCUCUCUCUCUCUCUCUCUCUCUCUACAGUGACGUACAUGGUCGAAAAUCUGACGAGUUUGGUCGGAAACUUGGGUGGUGGAAUUGGAGAGUGAAGGGGUCAUCGUUUCUGGAUCAACAGGGCUGUCGGCUGACUCGUCAAGCAAUGG